GGACUAAGACCAUGUUUAUCAAAAUUCGGCCUAACGUCCAAAGUGAAUAAUUUUUUGUUAGAAAUAUUCUCUAACAUGUUCUUGUCCUAUAAUGUACUGGUUUUUAUAUGUAGAGUUCGUGAAAGAACACUAUUUUUAGGUUUACAUUACUAGUAUAAAUCCUAUAAUUUGCUCUACUUUUUAAGAUUGCGUCAUACAACGUCGCUAUAUAUUAUUAGAAGUGGUAACGUAUUGUAAAACAUAAUUAUGCAAUGAGCGGUUUAAUAUAUAAUAAGAUCUUGAAAAAGAAAUUUUCUUUCAAAAUACGCAAUAAGGUUAUUUUACUUAUAGCCCGAAUGGCACACCAUAUUUUUCAAUCCUUCAUUCGGCCAUUUUCACACGCCGCGCCGUUAGCCUGUUUGUGCUGUUCGUGGAAGUUGCAGAGGAUGUACUCAUCGCAUUUCAACGAUGAUAUAAUAUGUACAGCAAAAAUUGAUGGCAAGGGUGACAUGAAUCAGAUUGACAAGAAUCCAUAUUCCUACUCCUCAAUAAUGCUAUCAUCACUGCCAUCAGAUUUAUCAAUGAUAGUGGCAUCAGUGACACAUGCGGAUAAGUGUUGGACAUCACUGAAGGAAUAGCUUCCUUGUUGUGCCUGCCAAUAGCAAGGUACCAGAUUAUACAGCAGUUAUGUGGAAACAGAUUCCCACAAUAGGGGGACCAGAUUGACACCUACAUUGUACAGUAUCAGGCAGUUAUAUCAGAACUGGAAAAACUGGAUCCAAACAAGACUAUAUUGCUUGGAAGAAACAUGUCGACUCUGAAGUUUAACCCUUAUUAACCCAUGGCACUUCUAUGUCAUUUGAAAUAUACCUGUGGAGGUUUUUAAAGUGGUUUUUUUUUUUGGGGGGGGUUGGGUUAUUAUUUGGAAGAAUUCAUAUUUGAUGAUUCAAAUGAAAAUCUGCAUGUUGAAUUAUGAAUGUCAUAAUGUACUUUUUGAAUGAUGAAAAGUGUAGAGUCAAAAGUUAUCAAAUUGUCAAAAACACUGGUCAGGUCUGAAUUCAUCAUCUUGGACACCUUGCAUUUGGAAUUAUGAUCUCUAUGAAGAAAUGCUGAAAAUCUUGCAAAAGAGGAAAUGACAAGUUGGGGUCCAAGGCACUUGCAUAUAUGCAUGAGAAGGUGUUCUAUCCAGGCUUGAGGUCAAUUACAUAGCAAUGUAACGCCUUACAUUACCUAGAAAAUUUCACAUUACCAUUACUCCUAUUUUGAAAUAUAAUGUAUUACAUUACUUGAGAGUGAAUUUACAUUACACAUUUACAUAACAUACUGUCAGAUAUUAGAGAAAUGGCAGAAAAAUUAUUUCUGUAUUAUGAUUUUUAAUUAUACAUUAACAUAAGUACACAAAAUAUUCAGCAAUGUUAGGAAACAUAUCUAUUAAGUUAUUCAUUGCAUUUGAUUGUCAUCAAUGUUUCAAAUGCUUCAGUCAAUCACUAAUAAAAUGAAUUAUUCUAAAUCUUCGAAAUAUCAUCAAAUAUUUGAAGUAGUGUAAAUGUAAUGAAAAAUAAUUUUUAGUACAGUAUGCAUUACAUUACCAUUACUUGUAAUGCAAAAAUGGUCCAUUACACCCCCAUUACAUUGAAACUGGUUGUCAUUUAAUUACCAUUACCCCAGGCCUGGUUCUGUUGAGAGGUAUUGAAAUUCUCUGUAGAGACUUUGUCUCAGGAAGUGGCCGAGAUUGGUGGUGACAAUUUUGUUGGAUGUGAAUUUACUGACACACAUGUCUACACUUGCUACACAAUAUAGCAUGUGGUGGUUUCAACAAGAAAGUUCUUACUCUGCAGGAAAUGACGAAUAGCUAAUGGAUUCACAUUUUUUCUGACUUUUCUUCUGUACAUUAGAUGCAUUGGAAAAACUUUCCUUUCCAUUAUCUUUUGCUGGUUCAUUCUUUGAAAUAAAAUCAAGUCCGAAAAUAAA